rnacentral:lncRNA from 1 species
GUGGUUUGUUUACGUUGUGCCACCGUAGUUAAGACGCGUCCCGGGCUCUCGCACCGUCACCGUGUGCAAGUUUUUCACGUCAGUCGUCCCUCUUAUCGUAGGUAAUCAACGUCCCCAGCCUACGUUUAUGGUUUGCGCUUCUAAGAAGAGCUGCCGGACGGAGAACUUCGUCUCAUUGUAUCACCAUGGCUGCCUAUUGCUCUGCGCUCGGCUGUACCAGCACCGACGGCCGAGACGUUAUUUUUGGACCGCUGCUCUCUGAAGACGGAACAAUCGGGCCCACGCCAAAACCAAGUCUUUUUAGCAAAAGAGAUAAUGGUGACAUCGCAGCAGAGCCAGUACAUCAGGCAGCACCGAGACUGGUUUGUGAGUUGG